AGUUGAACGGUUGACAUAGGGUAGCAAUAUUCUGUGUCAGCAGUGGCGUAAGGGUGCUUAACACGUGGGUAAUCUGCCGCGAAGUGUGGGAUAACUCGCUGAAAGGCGAGCUAAUACCGCAUGUGAUUUUCUUGAGGCAUCUCAGGGAAUUCAAACAUGGGUCGCAAGGCCUGUGGUUUCGCGAUGAGCCCGCGGCCUAUCAGCUAGUUGGCGGGGUAAAGGCCCACCAAGGCUAAGACGGGUAGCUGGUCUGAGAGGACGACCAGCCACACUGGAACUGAGACACGGUCCAGACACCUACGGGUGGCAGCAGUCGAGAAUUUUUCACAAUGGGGGAAACCCUGAUGGGGCGACGCCGCGUGGGGGAUGAAGGGCUUCGGUUCGUAAACCCCUGUCAUUGGCGAACAAGUGUUGCGUCCUAAUACGGCGCAACUUGAUAGUAGCCGAAGAGGAAGGGACGGCUAACUCUGUGCCAGCAGCCGCGGUAAUACAGAGGUCCCGAGCGUUGUUCGGAUUCACUGGGCGUAAAGGGUGCGUAGGUGGUUGGGUAAGUUUGAGGUGAAAGCUCCGAGCUCAACUCGGAAAAUGCCUUGAAGACUAUCUGACUAGAGGGUUGGAGGGGAGACUGGAAUUCUCGGUGUAGCAGUGAAAUGCGUAGAUAUCGAGAGGAACACCAGUGGCGAAGGCGAGUCUCUGG
rnacentral:rRNA from 1 species